AAGCCAGUCAAUUAAUCUGCUUAUAUGAAUGAGUUUCUACAGAAAGUUAGAAAAAUCUGGCAAUAGUUAUGGCAUUUUAUAAGUGUAAGGACAACUGAGGUCAUUAUUGUCCCUGCAAAUAGCUAUGAUA